rnacentral:rRNA from 1 species
UGGGGAAUAUUGCACAAUGGGCGCAAGCCUGAUGCAGCCAUGCCGCGUGUGUGAAGAAGGCCUUCGGGUUGUAAAGCACUUUCAGCGGGGAGGAAGGCGGUGAGGUUAAUAACCUCACCGAUUGACGUUACCCGCAGAAGAAGCACCGGCUAACUCCGUGCCAGCAGCCGCGGUAAUACGGAGGGUGCAAGCGUUAAUCGGAAUUACUGGGCGUAAAGCGCACGCAGGCGGUCUGUAAAGUCGGAUGUGAAAUCCCCGGGCUCAACCUGGGAAAUGCAUUGUAAACUGGAAGGCUAGAGUCUUGUAGAGGGGGGUAGAAUUCCAGGUGUAGCGGUGAAAUGCGUAGAGAUCUGGAGGAAUACCGGUGGCGAAGGCGGCCCCCUGGACAAAGACUGACGCUCAGGUGCGAAAGCGUGGGGAGCAAACAGG